ACCUCUCUUCCAACAUGGUUAAGGUUUUAAAUCUUUACAUUCCCUUCCCUCUUGUCUAUGAUCAAAACCAUGUCCAUGACCACUAGUUUGAGUUGCAGCCUUGCAGGGUUCGCGGGAAAGUGUACCUCGGUUUGAAAAUCUUGUUAAAACUCUCUUUCGAGACAAAAUCGAAACGACAACUACGUUGGAAAUUGCUUACAAUUAUGAUGGAUAACGCUCCAAAGCCACAUAAAAAGUGUGUAUUCACAACUCAUAAAACUGGUGGGUUUGUGUUACGUGUAGAACAAAUUCAUGGA